GCGGCGGACGGGUGAGUAACACGUGGGUAACCUACCUAUAAGACUGGAAUAACUUCGGGAAACCGGAGCUAAUGCCGGAUAACAUUUGGAACCGCAUGGUUCUAAAGUAAAAGAUGGUUUUGCUAUCACUUAUAGAUGGACCCGCGCCGUAUUAGCUAGUUGGUAAGGUAACGGCUUACCAAGGCAACGAUACGUAGCCGACCUGAGAGGGUGAUCGGCCACACUGGAACUGAGACACGGUCCAGACUCC
rnacentral:rRNA from 1 species